rnacentral:rRNA from 1 species
GAUGAACGCUGGCGGCGUGCCUAAUACAUGCAAGUCGAGCGAACAGACGAGGAGCUUACUCCUCUGACGUUAGCGGUGGACGGGUGAGUAACACGUGGAUAACCUACCUAUAAGACUGGGAUAACUUCGGGAAACCGGAGCUAAUACCGGAUAACAUGUUGAACCGCAUGGUUCAACAGUGAAAGACGGUCUUGCUGUCACUUAUAGAUGGAUCCGCGUCGCAUUAGCUAGUUGGUAAGGUAACGGCUUACCAAGGCAACGAUGCGUAGCCGACCUGAGAGGGUGAUCGGCCACACUGGAACUGAGACACGGUCCAGACUCCUACGGGAGGCAGCAGUAGGGAAUCUUCCGCAAUGGGCGAAAGCCUGACGGAGCAACGCCGCGUGAGUGAAGAAGGUCUUCGGAUCGUAAAACUCUGUUAUUAGGGAAGAACAAAUGUGUAAGUAACUAUGCACGUCUUGACGGUACCUAAUCAGAAAGCCACGGCUAACUACGUGCCAGCAGCCGCGGUAAUACAUAGGUGGCAAGCAUUAUCCGGAAUUAUUGGGCGUAAAGCGCGCGUAGGCGGUUUUUUAAGUCUGAUGUGAAAGCCCACGGCUCAACCGUGGAGGGUCAUUGGAAACUGGAAAACUUGAGUGCAGAAGAGGAAAGUGGAAUUCCAUGUGUAGCGGUGAAAUGCGCAGAGAUAUGGAGGAACACCAGUGGCGAAGGCGACUUUCUGGUCUGUAACUGACGCUGAUGUGCGAAAGCGUGGGGAUCAAACAGGAUUAGAUACCCUGGUAGUCCACGCCGUAAACGAUGAGUGCUAAGUGUUAGGGGGUUUCCGCCCCUUAGUGCUGCAGCUAACGCAUUAAGCACUCCGCCUGGGGAGUACGACCGCAAGGUUGAAACUCAAAGGAGUUGACGGGGACCCGCACAAGCGGUGGAGCAUGUGGUUUAAUUCGAAGCAACGCGAAGAACCUUACCAAAUCUUGACAUCCUCUGACCCCUCUAGAGAUAGAGUUUUCCCCUUCGGGGGACAGAGUGACAGGUGGUGCAUGGUUGUCGUCAGCUCGUGUCGUGAGAUGUUGGGUUAAGUCCCGCAACGAGCGCAACCCUUAAGCUUAGUUGCCAUCAUUAAGUUGGGCACUCUAAGUUGACUGCCGGUGACAAACCGGAGGAAGGUGGGGAUGACGUCAAAUCAUCAUGCCCCUUAUGAUUUGGGCUACACACGUGCUACAAUGGACAAUACAAAGGGUAGCGAAACCGCGAGGUCAAGCAAAUCCCAUAAAGUUGUUCUCAGUUCGGAUUGUAGUCUGCAACUCGACUACAUGAAGCUGGAAUCGCUAGUAAUCGUAGAUCAGCAUGCUACGGUGAAUAAAUUCCCGGGUCU